AUCUGAUAUUGUCGGUGAAGCCAACUUUAUUGUAGUCUAUAGAUAAUAUGUACACUCUUAAUAGCUAGUACUAUCUACAAUCAUCGAAGAGGUUCGGUAGGAAUAGUGCAGCUUGAUGCAAAAAUCUACAAUAUUCUUCGUUUCAAGUCAAGGAAUGGAGGAAUUUUGUAGGAUAGGAUCCAUUCUAUCCUUCAACAACUCUUUGAGGAUUUUAAACAUGAGCUCCAAGCCCUGCUCGUCAAGUACGCCAGGAUUAGUCAUUUU
rnacentral:lncRNA from 1 species